AUAUAUAUAUAUAUAUAUAUUGGAUUUCCUUGCAUUUCGUAUCUAGUGAUCAUCGUCGGAAAUAGCCCAAAUAACGUCCGAAUAUUAAUUGGCAAGCGAUAUUCUUCUAUUUUUCUUUCAAUCGCAUGCUAUAUAUCUAUUCUAUUUGUUAGUUUCAGAAAAAAAAAUCUCUUUGUUUUUCCAUAUUUCAUAUUUGGAAAAGGGUAUGGAUUUUUUUUAAGCAAAUAAAUAAUUUUUAUUCAUAAAUAAUCAUCCGGCAUCUGAAAUAAAAUUAAUCUAAAAUACCAAAAUAAAAAAAAAAAUUGUAAAAAUUGUUUUCUGAUACCACUACUAACGGCUACCUGGCUCACUCGAAAUCAUGAUCCUAAUUUUAACAUGAAAAUUCUUUGAUAAUACUGCAUAUUUCUGUUGAUUGGAGAUUCUCACCAUAAUUGGUUAAAUCUUAAAAAAAUUGUAUCCAACUGCAUUAUUUAAAUAAAAACCAUAAUUGAUUCAUCUCUCAAAAAUCAAAAGCUCCCAGACGAUGAGGAGAAAGAAAAACUCUUAUAUAAAGAGGAAAAAUAACUCUUAUGUAAAGAUGAAAUGAGAUAACAAAAGAGAAGAACAAGAAAAGUCCAAGAAAUAGAGAGAAAUGAAAAAAAUUGGGUAAAACACUAUAUUAAAAAAGGAAAGGGAAAGGGACUUAUACCAGUGAAAAUGGCCGGUGACAGCCCCAAAAGGUUUUUUUCUUGAUAGAGAAAAAAGUAGAAAGAAGAGGGAGGAGUGCGAGUACACAUUGUUGAACCUGUCAUUUUUGGUUAAUUUCUUUAAUGUUCUUUUUAAAUUUUUAAAUAGAAUACUUUAUCUCAUUUUGAAUGUUAUCAUUAUCCUCUCCUACUUAUUUAAUAUAGCUCGUCAAUAGUUUGAUUCCACUAGUUAUGAUAUCUGUUCUUUAUCACCUAUCCUAUGAUUUGCUAUUUAAUGGAAAGAAAUCCUUUUGGUUAGUUCCUUAUCAUUCUUGGGUUUGAUCUAUUUGCUCUUUUAGGUGUUAUAUGUUGAUUGCCUACAGACCAUAAUGCGUGUUUAAUACUUUUUUUAGGCUCUUCAGGUGCCUAUGGCAUGAGGCUGAGGAAUCAGUAGGACUUGAACUUGAACAUAUCUAAAUUGUUGAACCUUAGAUUUCUUACAAUGGACGUGAAUAAGCAGGGGCAAGUGUGCAUUCUUGUCCCUGCAAACACUUUUGUGCCCAUAUGCUUCUGCACAUAAAGAAGAUGGACACAACAUCAGAUUAAGUGUGAAGCAGGCACUUAAUUUAUGUGAAAUGAUGAUGCUGACUUUGCAAUGUCUCUUUUGUUGAGUAAUAUGGGACAUAGGCAUGUUUAUAAUGAUCAAUCUUUCGUUACUAGUUAAUUCAAUAUUUUCCAUGUGUUGCUACAUUCAGAGACCUUAAAUUAGUCUUAUUGAUUUCUUUUCUGUAGAGUGAAUGCUAGAUCGCAUGUCUCUUGCUUGAAUUGCUUCUGAAAAUUCUGAGACGCCCCUAGCCUGUCUUUGCUGUGUUGUAUUACGACAUUGUGAUAAUGUGCACUGUAAAAUGUAAAUUGACCGCAAACUUCAUAUGGUUUUACACUGCAUUUUCACUUGCAUGAGAUAUCUUUUUCUUGAAAAUAUGCGCUUAUUAAUUGAUGAUUAUGCUUCAUGUCCACUGUUUUACUGUAAUUUCUUAAUGUCUACAAUUUUCUCUUAAUCAUUACAAAAAUGAGAUGGAGUUUUCAUUCUUGUUAUCUGGUGGUAUAUGUGACCCAUAGGGUUUGUAAUCUGGUUGACUUUAAAGAUUUUUUUUUAAUAUGUUUUUUCCUUUGAAGACAAGGAAAGAGAAGAUAUGUGUGCCCAUGUAUUAUUCUGUUUAGGGGUUUCGGUUAGUUUUCCUUUUUAGACGUAUAUUUUUUAAAUUCUACUUAGGAAACGUAUUUUUAUUGUUUUAGAAUUUUUGUCUGAAUGCUAUAUGGGAGAUUCAUGUGUUGUAGUAGAAUUUGUCUUUGUUUCCUACUUUCCUCGUUAGAAAAGUUUCAUAUUUCUUAUUUAAUGAUGUGCCUUGUAAGGGAUUGAUAAAAAGAAAAGAUAAAAGAAGAUCGGAUUUGGCACAUCUUUUAAUUUGAUGCCAGUAUAAAAGCAACUGUUGAUGAGUAAAAAUGUGUAUUAUCCUUCUAAAUGCAUGAUAUCCUUUUUCUCUUUCUCUCCUAUUAUCUUUCCUUCAUUAGUCUUCAGCUUUUACAUUGUGGUUGCCCUAACAAGUCUUAAAACUUGUAACUUUGACAGCAAUUCAAUAUAAUUAUGAUAUUGGCAACAUGAGAAUUUGGCUUUUCCAUCUUGUUGCAGAAAAUGAUUUUACCUCAGCUUUUGCAGGGGAAAUAUUACGAUAUUGUACCAUUCUUGGGACGCUAUAUAUUUUUUGUUAAAUUAGAAAAUGUUGGGUGGCAACAAUGGUAAUCCUGUACUUCCUGUUUUUUUGGAUGAGAAUCGUAUACCCUAUCAGUCUAAUCCUUCAAAUCAGCUGCAGUUAUUCAGUAAUUGUAAGUUCUCAUCUAAAAAUAUCUUGUGCUUAUUCUUGCUACACGAAUCUUACCUCAGUUUUGUGUAUAUAUGCAUAUGUUGUUUGAUGGUCUGGUUAGUUGUUUACCUUCUAGAAAGUUAGCUGUGGAGUAGUUGUCUUGUAAGUGCUAGCCAGGAGCAAUUUGUCUUUCUUUCCUGUCAUGCCUUACAGGAUAGAACUUCUCAAAAGUGGUUAACCUUUUGGAAAAGGAUAUGCAACAAACUUGUGGUGAGAAUGAGAAGUCGUGCAAAUAAAAGUUCUGCUUAUUAUGUGUUAGAUUUCUGAAUUAUUUUUUUUCCUAUUUUGCCGCAUUUUGAUUGCUUUUAGCUUUUUCUUUUCCCAAAGGAAAAUAUUUAUCCUAUGAUUAUUGUUGAUGCCAUGAUUGAUUUCCAAUUAGUUUUGUCUUCACAAUAAGUGUACAUAUUCUUAUUUGUAUAAGUUUGUUCAUGAAUGAUUGAGAAGUGGGUUAAUUUAGUGUUAAAACUAAAGAAUUUAAAAUUUAAACUUCUGGUUGAAUAUCAAUUAUAAGACAUCCUAUUAGUUUUGUCUAUUAUACGAACAACAUUUCACGUUGGUGUGUCAAUUAUAGCCAACUUUGAAAGGACAUAAUGCUAAAAUUCUCAAAUUUCUAAAAUAUUAUAUGCAUUUUUCUAAUAAAUCUGUAUUAACAUCUAAUAUGGUAUAUUAUGUGUAAGACCAGCAGAAAAUUGAAAUUAUUAUUACACUUGAUUUUUUUUUUCAAAAAAAGCUGUGUCUUCUCUCCUUACCGCUCCCUUUAAAUGUGCUUGUGUGAAAAUUUUAUACAUAAAAUAUGUGCAAUUUGUAAGUUUUGGCUUAUGUUUUUUCAAGUUGUUGAAAGUUUUGUAUGAUUUAAUCUAAUUAAAAGGAUUAGCUAUAAUUGCAAAUCCCAUUAAAGGUUCACAAGUUUUUGGUCAUUGAUUCUAAAUUUUACUUUGAUGACCAAUUUUGCUAGAUAUGUGGAAUUUGAAUAAAAAGAAAACAUGAGUGAGUCAUUAAAUUUUACCCAAAGAGGAUGGAAUCUGAGCAAAUUUUUCAUUUCACUCAUUCGAUGCGUGGGUUCAAAGUUUUCAACUAAUACAUUAAUCUUUAAUAGUUGAAUUUUAUAUUGUUGGUAUCCAUGGACAUAAAAUAGUUAGAAGGUAAACAACAGUCGAGUAAAAGAUUAUUAAUCACCUCUGACACUACUAGUAGACAUGUAUCUCUGGUUUCGGUUCUAGAUUAUAAAUCUUUCCCCUCACCUUUGUUGCCCUCUCUCUCUCUCAACAGUCAAUGUAUGCAUAAUGUAGUUUGACUGAUAUAUGAUAUGAAUCUUUUUUCAGUCCCAGCUGGAUGCAGUGUUGAUGCAGUGAAUUGUUUUGGGAAUGAGCAUUUGAGCCCUAUGCUUCGGCCCAAUAAGAGAGCCAGAGAAACAGAAGAUUUCAGUAGACAGCAAAAACUACAGAUUUCCUUAAAUUAUAACAUAUGGCAAGAUGAAGCUGACCGUUCAGCUAGCAUACCAAACCCAAACCCUGUAUCAACUGGGUUACGGUUAUCAUACGAUGAUGAUGAACGAAAUUCAUCUGUAACUUCUGCAAGUGGGAGUAUGAAAGUAGCACCGUCAAUCAUCCUGUCCCUUGGUGACAAUAUUAGGACUGAGCUUGAUCGGCAGAAAGAAGAAUUUGAUCAGUAUAUUAAAAUUCAGGUACCACUGCGUAUCUCCAAUAAGAUAUUACAUAGGUAGAUUUGUGGAAUGUGGAUUGCCUUUGUAUCAUGACUUUUGCUGCAUGUUAAUGGUUAGUAAAUUCUCUUGUACAUUGCUUGCUUUUAGUCCUCCGCAUAAACCUCAAUUCUGUUCUCCCACAUUCAUUAUUGUUUUACUGAAUAAUCUUGAUAUUCCAAUCUUCUCCUUACUAUUUCAGAUGACUUUGAAUUUGUUAUUAUUUGUCUCUUCUACAAAAUGCUUUGGUACUGUGGUAUUGUUUUAAUGAAUUCAACAUGAGCAUAUAAUCCAUUUUUUGGUGGGUCUCAUGGCAAUAUGUUCAUGUUACGGUACUGGGGUACUAUUGUUAGACAUAAGUCCCCCGUUUAUAUGCAUCUUGCUAUAAUACCUAAAAUAUCAUUCAUGUAAUAAUAUGUAAUAAUUUUUAACGCUGCUCCGCACCAAUUUAAUUAGACACUGUCUUCAAACAGGAAGAGCAUUUGGCAACGGGGGUGAGGGACAUGAAGCAGAGGCAUAUUGCUUCUUUCCUGGCUGCCAUAGAGAAGGGUGUAAGCAAGAAGCUGCGGGAAAAAGACCUAGAAAUAGACAACAUGAAUCGUAAAAACAAGGAAUUAAUUGAGAGAAUAAAGCAGGUGGCCAUGGAAGCUCAGAAUUGGCAUUACAGAGCAAAAUACAAUGAGUCAGUUGUGAAUGUUCUCAAGAGCAACCUCCAGCAGGCAAUUUCACAGGGUGCAGACCAAGGGAAGGAAGGAUUUGGAGACAGUGAGGUCGAUGAUGCUGCUUCUUACGUUGUCCCUAGCAGCUACCUGAACGUUCCAGGUGGGCAUGCAAGACCUCUCACCAAAAAUUGCCAAGGUUUGAUUGAACACAUAACCUGCAGGGCAUGCAAAUCAAAGGAAGUGUGCAUGUUGUUGAUGCCUUGUAGGCAUUUAUGUUUAUGUAGAGACUGUGACAUGUUAAUCAAUGUUUGCCCUGUAUGCCAGUUGAUCAAAACUUCCAGCGUUCAAGUUUACUUGUCGUAAAUUAUCAAGUAAAUCGUUCAAAAGUUACAUACAAUCUUGUUGCUGUGAGAUAUACGUUGACAGUUUCUUCCAUGACAUGAGUUGUACGUGGAGUAAACUCUAUUUCACAAAAUGAGGUAUGGGAAAUUAUAUUUUGGUACUGGCGCCUCCUGUCCUCCCUCCCCCUCUCUUAGCAUGUAUGGCUGAUGGAGUUGAUUAUGUGGGUGCAUCACCAUGGCCGAGUCCAAUGCAAUCAAUACUAUACUUUAAACUAAAGUGUUGAUUUUGUUAGCACAGUGAUGUAGCCAUUUCAAUUUGCAAAGUAGUGUGAUAUCUAGCACUUAAUGCUCAAUUGCGGACAGGAUAAACUAAUUUAGUUAAUUCUUGUGCUUAUUUGGGUAGUUAUUAA
rnacentral:misc_RNA from 1 species